rnacentral:rRNA from 1 species
AGAGUUUGAUCAUGGCUCAGAACGUACGCUGGCGGCACGCCUAACACAUGCAAGUCGAACGAAGUAGCAAUACUUAGUGGCAGACGGGUGAGUAACAUGUAGGUAUCUGCCCUUUGGCCUGGAAUAACACGAGGAAACUUGUGCUAAUACCGGAUAAGUCUUUACGGAGAAAGCUUUAUGCACCAUUGGAUGAGCCUGCACUUGAUUAGUUUGUUGGUGGGGUAAUGGCCUACCAAGACUGUGAUCAAUAGCUGAUUUGAGAGGAUGAUCAGCCACAUUGGGACUGAGACACGGCCCAAACUCCUACGGGAGGCAGCAGUGGGGAAUCUUGCACAAUGGAGGAAACUCUGAUGCAGCGAUGCCGCGUGAGUGAAGAAGGCCCUUGGGUUGUAAAGCUCUUUCGUCGGGGAAGAAAAUGACUGUACCCGAAUAAGAAGGUCCGGCUAACUUCGUGGCAGCAGCCGCGGUAAUACGAAGGGACCUAGCGUAGUUCGGAAUUACUGGGCUUAAAGAGUUCGUAGGUGGUUGAAAAAGUUAGUGGUGAAAUCCCAGAGCUUAACUCUGGAACUGCCAUUAAAACUUUUCAGCUAGAGUAUGAUAGAGGAAAGCAGAAUUUCUAGUGUAGAGGUGAAAUUCGUAGAUAUUAGAAAGAAUACCAAUUGCGAAGGCAGCUUUCUGGAUCAUUACUGACACUGAGGAACGAAAGCAUGGGUAGCGAAGAGGAUUAGAUACCCUCGUAGUCCAUGCCGUAAACGAUGUGUGUUAGACGUUGGAAAUUUAUUUUCAGUGUCGCAGGGAAACCGAUAAACACACCGCCUGGGGAGUACGACCGCAAGGUUAAAACUCAAAUGAAUUGACGGGGACCCGCACAAGUAGUGGAGCAUGUGGUUUAAUUCGAAGAUACGCGCAGAACCUUACCAACACUUGACAUGUUCGUCGCGACUUUAAGAGAUUAAAGUUUUCGGUUCGGCCGGACGAAACACAGGUGCUGCAUGGCUGUCGUCAGCUCGUGUCGUGAGAUGUUGGGUUAAGUCCCGCAACGAGCGCAACCCUCACUUUUAGUUGCCAUCAUUUAGUUGGGCACUCUGAAAGAACUGCCAGUGAUAAGCUGGAGGAAGGUGGGGAUGACGUCAAGUCCUCAUGGCCCUUACGUGUUGGGCUACACACGUGCUACAAUGGUAUCUACAACAGGAAGCAAAACUGCGAAGUUAAGCAAAUCCUUAAAAGAUACCUCAGUUCGGAUUGCACUCUGCAACUCGAGUGCAUGAAGCUGGAAUUACUAGUAAUCGUGGAUCAGCGUGCCACGGUGAAUGCGUUCCCGGGUCUUGUACACACCGCCCGUCACACCAUGGGAGUUGGUUCUACCUUAAG